GUAGAGUACCAAUACCAAAUGUACCGGGGGCCCGGGGCACACCACAAGACGACACUAAUAAUGUCGCAACCCGCAAGCGGCUAAAUCGUCUGGCGCACUGGUGUGUGACGGGAUCAGGCCACCACGGGCCAGAUCGAGGGGCAAGAGAAGGAAAUCAAAAUCGAUGGGGCUGGAGCGUCCAAGGCGCAACAUACCGAGGUGGUGCUUGGUGCGUUCGACGAGCGAGCGGCGGUAGAGCGCGAGAACGCUAGCCAUGGUUGCCUCCCGCUCGCCGGUUUCCUCGUCGUCCGCGUCGGGCUCCUUCACGGCGAAGCAGGAGCGGAAAUGCAGAAAUAUCGAGAUUCCGGAUCCGGCCCGUGACAGCGACUGUCGGACACGCUGGCAGCACGGGAAUCUUCAGGGCCCACGGGGUGACGUCGCGACCGUCCUUCGAGGCCAACUAACCCCACCCACGUGGCGGCAGACGGACGGACGGGCAGAUCUUUCGGCGCCACGCCCACACUGAACAGUACACUACUCCAGCGCAGUGGCCUUUGCCCUUUGGCGCGCGCCAACUGGUGCAGUGCUGCUACUUUCUUCCCUUUGAAGACGCGCUGUAGGCUGUAGCUGUUGCUUUCUUCCGCUUGGCCUCAGCCCACGACUUCACCGGUUAAAAAUAUAUACAUAUAUUUCAUUUUUCUAAAGAUACUUCUACUAUGUUGAAUCUAUUCUCUUUUAGUAUAUCUCAGUAGUCUGAAUUUUAUGAUAA